UACGGAGGGGGCUAGCGUUGUUCGGAAUUACUGGGCGUAAAGCGCACGUAGGCGGCUUUGUAAGUUAGAGGUGAAAGCCCGGAGCUCAACUCCGGAACUGCCUUUAAGACUGCAUCGCUUGAACGUCGGAGAGGUAAGUGGAAUUCCGAGUGUAGAGGUGAAAUUCGUAGAUAUUCGGAAGAACACCAGUGGCGAAGGCGACUUACUGGACGACUGUUGACGCUGAGGUGCGAAAGCUAGGGGAGCAAACGGG
rnacentral:rRNA from 1 species